CGGGUUGUAAAGCACUUUCAGUCGUGAGGAAGCGGUACGUUAAUAGCGUAUUCGUUUGACGUUAGCGACAGAAGAAAGCACCGGCUAACUCCGUGCCAGCAGCCGCGGUAAUACGGAGGGUGCGAGCGUUAAUCGGAAUUACUGGGCGUAAAGCGCAUGCAGGUGGUUUGUUAAGUCAGAUGUGAAAGACCCGGGGCGUCAACCUCGGAAUAGCAUUUGAAACUAGGCAGACUAGAGUACUGUAGAGGGGGGUAGGAAUUUCAGGUGUAGCGGUGAAAUAGCGUAGAGAUCUGAAGGAAUACCGGUGGCGAAGGCGGCCCCCUCGGACAGAUACUGACACUCAGAUGCGAAAGCGUGGGGAGCAAACAGGAUUAGAUACCCUGGUAG
rnacentral:rRNA from 1 species